GAUGAACGCUGGCGGCGUGCCUAAUACAUGCAAGUCGAGCGAACGGACGAGAAGCUUGCUUCUCUGAUGUUAGCGGCGGACGGGUGAGUAACACGUGGAUAACCUACCUAUAAGACUGGGAUAACUUCGGGAAACCGUAGCUAAUACCGGAUAAUAUUUUGAACCGCAUGGUUCAAAAGUGAAAGACGGUCUUGCUGUCACUUAUAGAUGGAUCCGCGCUGCAUUAGCUAGUUGGUAAGGUAACGGCUUACCAAGGCAACGAUGCAUAGCCGACCUGAGAGGGUGAUCGGCCACACUGGAACUGAGACACGGUCCAGACUCCUACGGGAGGCAGCAGUAGGGAAUCUUCCGCAAUGGGCGAAGGCCUGACGGAGCAACGCCGCGUGAGUGAUGAAGGUCUUCGGAUCGUAAAACUCUGUUAUUAGGGAAGAACAUAUGUGUAAGUAACUGUGCACAUCUUGGCGGUACCUAAUCAGAAAGCCACGGCUAACUACGUG
rnacentral:rRNA from 1 species